rnacentral:rRNA from 1 species
GCUACGGGAGGCAGCAGUGAGGAAUAUUGGUCAAUGGACGGAAGUCUGAACCAGCCAUGCCGCGUGCAGGAAGACGGCUCUAUGAGUUGUAAACUGCUUUUGUACAAGGGUAAACCUGAAUACGUGUAUUCUGCUGAAAGUACUGUACGAAUAAGGAUCGGCUAACUCCGUGCCAGCAGCCCCGGUAAUACGGGGGAUCCAAGCGUUAUCCGGAUUUAUUUGGUUUAAAGGGUGCGUAGGCGGAUUGAUAAGUUAGAGGGGAAAUGUCCGAGCUUAACUCGGGAACUGCCUCUAAUACUGUUGAACUAGAGAGUAGGUGCGGUAGGCGGAAUGUAUGGUGUAGCGGUGAAAUGCUUAGAGAUCAUACAGAACACCGAUUGCGAAGGCAGCUUACCAAUCUAUAUCUGACGUUGAGGCACGAAAGCGUGGGGAGCAAACAGGAUUAGAUACCCGGGUAGUC